rnacentral:lncRNA from 1 species
GGGUGUGUGGAACCUUCUGGACCACUAUUUGAGCUUUUGUUAAUAUUCUUGUGAUGAGUGCUAUAUUCUGAAAACUAUGUAUUAUUUAUACGAUAUUAGGAUAUUGGAUUAAUAUUUUGUUAUGUGUGUAUCAACUUAUCAUAUACUGUAUACUGGUGAAUACUAAGUUCGCUACAUUAUGUAUUAUUUUAUCUGAAGUAUGUAUUGGAUCAUU